AUAUUGUAGGGAAAGUGGGGCAAAGUGCUCAAACCUUGAUGAUAAGAGAACUGCCUAAAAACAAACAACAUUAACUCCUAUUAUUUACCUUGAAUUGUGUCUGCCCAGCUAUGCCUUUAACCACACUAAGUUAGAAACUAACUAGUUCUAGCGCAGUACCCUGCUCAAUGUGAAGCUGCAGCUAUAACUCUUGGAAACCUCUUAUACUAAGUUCACAAAAACAUAUUGUUCUCAGACACUUAACACGCACAAGCUUCAUCUCUUUCACUAAAUCCCUAAAUCAAGCUUCUCAAACACUUAACACGCACAAGCUUCUCAAACAUUGCAUUUGAUAUUUAUUCUAAAUUACACAUCAAUGACAUUUGAAUAUCUAUAUCACGAAACUAAAUCGAGUGAAUGCUACUGUUACUUACUGUCAGUCUUACAUAUCAAAUGCAGUACACAUAACAAAAGCCAAUCAAGUUUAUUAACAUUCAAAGUCAACACCAAAAUCCUAUGAUUCUAUACACAUAUGCACAAUUUUUUAACACAAUACAACAAAAUUAUCAAAAGAAAAAACCUACAACAAUAAAUCAAGUGAAUGUUACUGUUACACUGUCAGUGUCACAUAUCAAAGGUACUACACAUAUCCAUCAAGUUCAUUAACAUUCAAAAUUAACACCAAAUUUCUAUAAUUCUAUGUGCAUAAUGCACAAAAUAUUCAACUAAACAAAAUAUUCAGCUAAACAGAAUAUAAAUUAAGUUCAUAAACAUUCAAAUUAACACCAAAUCAGUGUGAUUCAAUUUCACACAAAAUAAUUAACCUAGACACAGUUAAUAAGCAACAAUACCAUACCUUAACAAAAAUUUCUGGAACUUUAUCACCAACUGCAAGCUGUUUCGGAUCUCUUCCACCUACCAAAAUGUCAAAUCAAAAACCGCCAAAACACACACAAAAUCAAAUAGAUAAUUCGUGUACCUUAAGUAAUUGACAAAAUCAACUUGCAUUUUCCGGAAUUCGAUGGAGUUGAAUCGUUGAAGUGAAAUGAGCAAAUCGAUUUGCGUUUCGGAAGUGAGCGAUGGUGCGAACGAGAACGGUUCACAGUUCUGAAGAAGUGAUGUUGCGAAUCGAUUAUGAGGGAACAAGAAUUCUCAACGGUGUGAAUCGAUUAUGAACCAUUAUGAGGGAGCAGUUAGGGAUUCGGUGUGGAAUCGUGAUGAACAAGAGUGAGUUAGGGAUUUGGUGUUGAUCGUGAUGAACACGANNN
rnacentral:lncRNA from 1 species